rnacentral:rRNA from 1 species
UACGUAGGGUGCGAGCGUUGUCCGGAAUUACUGGGCGUAAAGCGCACGUAGGCGGAUUUGUAAGUCAGGGGUGAAAUCCCGGGGCUCAACCCCGGAACUGCCUUUGAUACUGCAAAUCUCGAGUCCGGAAGAGGUGAGUGGAAUUCCUAGUGUAGAGGUGAAAUUCGUAGAUAUUAGGAAGAACACCAGUGGCGAAGGCGGCUCACUGGUCCGGUACUGACGCUGAGGUGCGAAAGCGUGGGGGAGCAAACAGG